CGCGGCCUAUCAGCUUGUUGGUGGGGUAAUGGCCUACCAAGGCGACGACGGGUAGCCGGCCUGAGAGGGCGACCGGCCACACUGGGACUGAGACACGGCCCAGACUCCUACGGGAGGCAGCAGUGGGGAAUAUUGCACAAUGGGCGGAAGCCUGAUGCAGCGACGCCGCGUGAGGGAUGACGGCCUUCGGGUUGUAAACCUCUUUCACCCAUGACGAAGCGCAAGUGACGGUAGUGGGAGAAGAAGCGCCGGCCAACUACGUGCCAGCAGCCGCGGUAAGACGUAGGGCGCGAGCGUUGUCCGGAAUUAUUGGGCGUAAAGAGCUCGUAGGCGGCUUGUCGCGUCGGCUGUGAAAUCCCGUGGCUCAACUGCGGGUCUGCAGCCGAUACGGGCAGGCUAGAGUUCGGUAGGGGAGACUGGAAUUCCUGGUGUAGCGGUGAAAUGCGCAGAUAUCAGGAGGAACACCGAUGGCGAAGGCAGGUCUCUGGGCCGAUACUGACGCUGAGGAGCGAAAGCGUGGGGAGCGAACAGGAUUAGAUACCCUGGUAGUCCACGCUGUAAACGUUGGGCGCUAGGUGUGGGGGACCUCUCCGGUUCUCUGUGCCGCAGCUAACGCAUUAAGCGCCCCGCCUGGGGAGUACGG
rnacentral:rRNA from 1 species